AUACGUAGGGAGCGAGCGUUGUCCGGAAUUACUGGGCGUAAAGGGCGCGUAGGCGGCGCUUCAAGUCGUCUGUCAAAUGGGAGGGCUUAACCCUUUUUCGCAGACGAAACUGGGGAGCUUGAGAAGCAGAGAGGCAAACAGAAUUCCUGGUGUAGCGGUGAAAUGCGUAGAUAUCAGGAAGAAUACCAGUGGCGAAGGCGGUUUGCUGGCUGCAUACUGACGCUGAAGCGCGAAAGCCAGGGGAGCAAACGGGAUUAGAUACCCCGGUAGUCCUGGCAGUAAACGAUGUAUGCUGGGUGUGAGACUAGCGAUAGUUUCGUGCCGAAGUUAACGCGAUAAGCAUACCGCCUGGGGAGUACGGCCGCAAGGUUGAAACUCAAAGGAAUGGACGGGG
rnacentral:rRNA from 1 species